CAGUAGCCGCGGUAAUACGUAGGUGGCAAGCGUUGUCCGGAAUUAUUGGGCGUAAAGGGCACGCAGGCGGUGACUUAAGUGAGGUGUGAAAGCCCCGGGCUUAACCUGGGAAUUGCACUUCAUACUGGGUCGCUAGAGUACUUUAGGGAGGGGUAGAAUUCCACGUGUAGCGGUGAAAUGCGUAGAGAUGUGGAGGAAUACCGAAGGCGAAGGCAGCCCCUUGGGAAAGUACUGACGCUCAUGUGCGAAAGCGUGGGGAGCAAACAGGAUUAGAUACCCCAGUAGUCCCUGUCUCUUAUAC
rnacentral:rRNA from 1 species